UACGGAGGGGGCUAGCGUUGUUCGGAAUUACUGGGCGUAAAGCGCACGUAGGCGGCUUUGUAAGUUAGAGGUGAAAGCCCAGGGCUUAACCCUGGAAUUGCCUUUAAGACUGCAUCGCUAGAAUCGUGGAGAGGUGAGUGGAAUUCCGAGUGUAGAGGUGAAAUUCGUAGAUAUUCGGAAGAACACCAGUGGCGAAGGCGAAUCACUGGACACGUAUUGACGCUGAGGUGCGAAAGCGUGGGGAGCAAACAGG
rnacentral:rRNA from 1 species